GCAACUAUAAUUCUUCUAACUUCUCUACAUUUUUUACCCAAAAUAUCUAAAAAGCAUCAACUAGGAUCACAAUGAAUAACCAAAAUAUCUAAAAAUUCUAUACUAGAGGGAAAAAAAAGGAAGAACACUUACAGCUCAAAAAUCUGAAAGUAAUCGUUGCAUAAAGCAACGGGUCGAAUGCUCCUACAGGAAUCAGAAUAGAGGAAUGGCAUUGUUCCAGUCUUGUAUGUGACGCAGUUCCAACACCUUUUUGUUGAAGAAUCGAGCUUUGCGGCGGAUUGGGAGCUUAAAUUUUGAAAGGAAAAGUUUGAAUUUGGGAGAAAAUGGAAGGCGUAGCAUGGAGGAACCCGAUAAGAAAUAAAGGGAUUUGGGAAAUUGGGGGUUUGGAUCACAAAGGGAUUGGAAGUUUGGGAAUUGGGGAAAAUAAUUUGAGGAAGAAUAACUUAGGGAAAUUUAGGGGAAACGAAGUUAGGAAAUUGGGGAAAUGAAGUCGGGAAAAUCUGACAUGGGGAAAACUAAAGGAAAUUCAGGGUUAAUAAAAC
rnacentral:lncRNA from 1 species